ACCAGAGUGGUAUAGUGGUUUGAGCAUUUGACUACAACUCUGGAGACCAGGGUUCGAUUCCCUGCUCAGCCA